rnacentral:piRNA from 1 species
UGCCAAAGUUACAGCAACUGGGGUCAGGUC